rnacentral:lncRNA from 1 species
AGGAAAUGAGGAAAGGUAAGAAACCAAACCCAAUUCUUUUGAUGCAUGAUGGAAUAGAUAUUCAAAUAAAAGCGAACAUGAGAUGAACUUAUUCAACUUCUCUAUCAACCACACUUCUUAAUUGUCAAGCAUUAUAGUACAUUUUUAAAACUUAAGAUUUACAAGAAGGUAGACACUAUAUAUAUGUAAAUGAGUAAGUUGAAAUAGGGGCAAGUAAAAUCCUAGAAGCAAGAAAAGGCCAAGGAAUAAUUUGAAUCUCCAACUUGUUAAAGAAGCUAUAGUGUUGUGCUGGUUUAGAAGCUGACACAGAAUGGUAGAGAUUAUCAUUCUUGUCCAUAGGGAUAUAUGCUAGAAGAUAUCUGCAAUAAAUGAAAAUAUACGCAAAACAUUAAGAAGUUGUUUACAAAUGAUUAAAAUGAAUGAAAAAUUGAAAAAAGCAUUGAACCAAUAACGUGACAAUACCUUCCCCCUCAUCCACUUCAUUAUAAUCAUCUUUUUUCUUUUUUCAUUAAUAUAGAGUUUUGUUUAAAAAAAAUAUUUAUUUAUUUAUAAAUAAUCAUAUUAGCUUAUUAGGGUGAGGUAACGUUACCAUCAUGAGUCAUUUAGACAACCCUCAGAAUAUUGUAAGAGAUCUUUUUUAUAUUCUAUAUUCUACAACUACAAGUAUAAAAAAAAUGAUUGCCAUAGAGAUUGACAAUUGAGGGUACCAAUUUAUAGAACUUACAACUUAUCUGCAAACUAAAUCCAUACACUAUUUACUUUUGAUAUUUAAUAUGCAGGGUGAAAAUCAACUAUGCUCUGUGGGGUAGUUAUUUUGAUCAGUUGAAUAAUUUCCUGGCCACCGGAGACUGUAACUAUUUGUAUUAAUACCAACAAUCUUUUUCCACUUACAACCUUUCCUCUUAUUCCUUUCCACUUAUAUUCCAUCCUUCCAUUUUCUUCUCUCCAUCCAAACACCAGUAAUCACACUGACUUUGGAUCAAUUAGCAUUGGAUUGAAAUGUGAAGUCCCAAAAUAACAUCGUUUAAUUAAAAGAUCCAAUUGAAAAAAAUCAAAAUUACUCAUUAUUCAGUAAAUGAUUGCAUCCAGGUAAUGCAAGAUUGCAGGAAAUGAGGAAAGGUAAGAAACCAAACCCAAUUCUUUUGAUGCAUGAUGGAAUAGAUAUUCAAAUAAAAGCGAACAUGAGAUGAACUUAUUCAACUUCUCUAUCAACCACACUUCUUAAUUGUCAAGCAUUAUAGUACAUUUUUAAAACUUAAGAUUUACAAGAAGGUAGACACUAUAUAUAUGUAAAUGAGUAAGUUGAAAUAGGGGCAAGUAAAAUCCUAGAAGCAAGAAAAGGCCAAGGAAUAAUUUGAAUCUCCAACUUGUUAAAGAAGCUAUAGUGUUGUGCUGGUUUAGAAGCUGACACAGAAUGGUAG